UUCAUUUGACCGCCGUUUGACGUCUUUCGCCAAUCAAAUCAAGACAGGAAAUCACGUGACCACAGUCAGUCACCACACGACGUCUAAUUGCGGCCUUGUCAAAAGUUUGAGGAAGCCCGUGUUGACUUUUUAUUUACCAAAAAAAUAAGCUUGUCGUCUGAAAUUUCAGCUAAAGCUCGACGCGUAACUUGAGAAGACACGUUACGGUGCCAAGGAGCCGGCCGAGGCCUCGCUGCCACGCUGGAUAAAGAGCAGAUGGCGACCCGGACCGGGCAGCCAAGCCAUUCACUUUCCUCGCCGUCUAUUCAGCACGGCGGCGGCGGGACGACAGCUCUGGCAGGUGGCCUCCACGCCCGGUGUAUCCACAGCGGAGUAAACAGCGUGCGUGUGUGUGUGAGUGGGUCUUUUGGGGGCUUGUUGAGUGCGGCUGCAUGUGGGGGAGUCUCGAUUGCGGACAAUGCGGGGAUCCUAAGGCAGCUGCUGCUUCUAUAGAGGGCCAAAGGGCCUUUAAAUCCCAGCCUAUAUCCCACAGCUGCCAUGCUGCCCAAAAGUCUCAAUACAACCCCCCCCCCCGUAAAAAAAAAAAAAAAAACACCCACCCCCACUCUCACAAGGUAUAUCAAGGCUGCACCUGAGCCUUUAGCAAUCCAGAAAAGAAAGAAAAGCAAUACAAAAUUUGACUUUAAAAAAACAUUUUAUUCUCAUCUUUUUUUUUUUUUUUGCUCAUGAGGGAACUUGCAUGGAGAACAAACAUUUUUUUUUAAAUGGCUCAGACAAAGACGACUAGUGUACGCUACAAACUACAUGAUUGCAAAUACACCACCAAUACAAAAAUAAGGAACUAAAAUAAACAUAGGCCAUAUGGCUGAAUCAAGAAUUCACUUAACACGUA